rnacentral:tRNA from 1 species
GGAGCGGUAGUUCGGUCGGCCAGAAUACUGGCCUGUCACGCCGGGGGUCGCAGGUUCGAGCCCCGUGUCCGCUCCGCCA